CACCUGAGUUGACUUACUCGCAGGCGUUCCUGAAAUUCACAAGCCAGAAGAAUUUCAAGAGCCCACACAACUCACUUUUCAGAGGGACUUCACCCUUCCCAGAGUGAUUUGCUACCAUGUAUUGAGAGAAGACUGGAUGAUGCCACAUUGCCAUGUGAUACCAUAAGAACUCAAUGAAUCCCCCAUUCAGCGUGGUGUACCCCAGCUUCACUGAGGAAAUUCAGGAUGAAGUCUUCUGACUUAUGCCCCUUAGAGAGGAAGGAGCACGUGACAUGACCUGGCCCAUCAGAUGCCCAGGAACCCGGCAGAAGGGCAGGUAGAAUCAUUCAGCUUGCUGGCAUUCCACAAUGGCAACAGCACCCAGUGGUGUUCAGCAUUGGCAGUGUCCACUGAAAGUGCUGUCAUCAGGGCCCUGGACAGACCGUUCCCAUUUGGUUGUGGUUCCAGCCAGUGAGACAUUGGAUAAGGCCUGAUUUCUCAGCCUGGUUCUUCAUGAUGAAUUUUUAAACAGCUACCCUUAAAUUAGCUCAGGUCAGUUUCUGUUGUUUAUAACAGGGAAUCCUGAUCAAUACCAAUGACAUAGCCUCUUUUUGAUCAAGAAGUUGUAAAUGUCUACAUCUCUAGGCAAACCCACAUCUGUCCUCAAAGCCUUAAAACACAGAUCAGGUGCAUUUCUUUUUUUUUCCCCUCAAAGACAAAUCCUCUCUAAGAUAAUCAAGUCUCUAAAUAAUAAUGAGCAGUUUUCAUUGCAAUAAGUAAAUAAUAUACAGUCAUCUCUUGUAUCUAAAGGUAUUGGUUCUAAGAUCCCCACAGAUACCAAAACUGUGGAUGCUCAAGUUCCUUAUAUAAAAUGGCCAGCGCAGGUGGCCCCCUCUAUCUCUGGGGUUCUAUAUCCUUGAUACAAAGGCCUGACUGUAUGUAUCAACCUAUUAUGUUCAUGGACAGAAAAAAAAAAAGUGAAUUAGCAAAUGUGAAAACAUUUUUAUUGACCUUAAGAUAUAGUCAUUUUAGGAAAGCAGAUAGUUGACAUUGUUUUCAGUUAUUGUCACAGCAAGAUGCCUGUGAAACUCUUUUAAUUGGACUGAGUGGCCCAUUAAUGACACUUGAGAUAUAUGCAGAGCUUGUCAUAUACUUUAAAAUUCACAAAGGCAGAUCAGUUUAAUAUGCUUUAUUCAUUUUCUUGGUUGAACACUGGGUUAUAUCCCAACUGAAUGAAGCAUCUGAUGUACUCCGAUUUGCAUUCUUGCACGCAGCAUACUUUCCGAUUCCACCUCAUUCGCAUCACUGUGAUUGUGCCAGUUUCUUACACAGGAGGACAUCAGUCACAUUCACUAUCAGCUAAACAGUUUGACCCAAAUGACAAUAGUAAAUCAUGCCCAACUUAGACAAUUGAAAUGUUAGGAUUUUUAACUAUGACUUGCUUAAGUGAAAGCGAAGUUGCUCAGUCGUGUCCAACUCUUAGCGACACCAUGGACUGCAGCCUACCAGGCUCCUCCGUCCAUGGGGUUUUCCAGGCAAGAGUACAGCUUGGGCAAAAGACCCUUGGUUCUAGCUAUCCUAACUGUUCCUCCCUCCCAGGGAACAUAUCAGACACGUUAGGAAGUAUCACUCUGCAUUGUCUUUGUUAAAUUAGUAUGUGUGGACGAUUAUGUAUAUUUAAUUUAGUAAUAGAAUGUGGAUUUGUGUAUGAUCUCUAAUGAACAGCUUAUAUGUGAUCAUCAAAACAAAAAUGUACAGAAAUGUGUGUCAGUAACAAGCCAAAGAGAUAGUGUGAAAUUUUGGAUCAGUUUGAAGCCCCAACCAAGAGUGUUCGCUGUUACCUGCCAGCAAUUCAAACAGUAUAGAAGUAUAUAAAAUAUAAUUCAGUAACUAACCUGUCUGCUAUUUCUGCUUUAUUGACUAUGCC